rnacentral:tRNA from 1 species
GGCUGAGUGGUCCAGUGGUAUGUUUCUCGCUUAGGGUGCGAGAGGUCCCGGGUUCAAUCCCCGGCUCAGCCC